AGUGAACGCUGGCGGUAGGCCUAACACAUGCAAGUCGAACGGCAGCACAGUAAGAGCUUGCUCUUACGGGUGGCGAGUGGCGGACGGGUGAGGAAUACAUCGGAAUCUACUUUUUCGUGGGGGAUAACGUAGGGAAACUUACGCUAAUACCGCAUACGACCUACGGGUGAAAGCAGGGGAUCCUCGGACCUUGCGCGAUUGAAUGAGCCGAUGUCGGAUUAGCUAGUUGGCGGGGUAAAGGCCCACCAAGGCGACGAUCCGUAGCUGGUCUGAGAGGAUGAUCAGCCACACUGGAACUGAGACACGGUCCAGACCCCUACGGGAGGCAGCAGUGGGGAAUAUUGGACAAUGGGCGCAAGCCUGAUCCAGCCAUACCGCGUGGGUGAAGAAGGCCUUCGGGUUGUAAAGCCCUUUUGUUGGGAAAGAAAAGCAGCAGGUUAAUACCCCGCUGUUCUGACGGUACCCAAAGAAUAAGCACCGGCUAACUUCGUG
rnacentral:rRNA from 1 species